rnacentral:rRNA from 1 species
AGUGAACGCUGGCGGUAGACCUAACACAUGCAAGUCGAACGGCAGCACAGUAAGAGCUUGCUCUUACGGGUGGCGAGUGGCGGACGGGUGAGGAAUACAUCGGAAUCUACUUUUUCGUGGGGGAUAACGUAGGGAAACUUACGCUAAUACCGCAUACGACCUACGGGUGAAAGCAGGGGAUCUUCGGACCUUGCGCGAUUGAAUGAGCCGAUGUCGGAUUAGCUAGUUGGCGGGGUAAAGGCCCACCAAGGCGACGAUCCGUAGCUGGUCUGAGAGGAUGAUCAGCCACACUGGAACUGAGACACGGUCCAGACUCCUACGGGAGGCAGCAGUGGGGAAUAUUGGACAAUGGGCGCAAGACUGAUCCAGCCAUACCGCGUGGGUGAAGAAGGCCUUCGGGUUGUAAAGCCCUUUUGUUGGGAAAGAAAAGCAGCAGGUUAAUACCCCGCUGUUCUGACGGUACCCAAAGAAUAAGCACCGGCUAACUUCGUG